rnacentral:lncRNA from 1 species
GCAAAGAGUAAGAGAAAAAAGAGAAUCUUAUUUUUUUUUAUCGGGGACAACCUUCACCCCGUAGGUUGGUUUCCUCUUACUGCCUCAAUAUUUAUUUGCUAUAUUAUUUUUUAUUUAAUGUCUAAUACUUAGAGUUUUGGUUUGUUGUGGACUGUUUGGUAUUGAAUUUUUUUGUUUGUUUAUUUUAUUAUUUAAUUAUCAUUAUUCUACUUAUAUAAGUUUUUUUAGAUACAAUUAUUUUUUUAUUCUAUACUAAUAGUUAAUUUGUUAAUUAUCAUAUUCUAAUUACAUAAAAAAAAUAUUCACAAAAAGCCACUCAAAUAUAAUUCAUCUCUCACGU